rnacentral:rRNA from 1 species
GACGAACGCUGGCGGCGUGCCUAAUACAUGCAAGUCGUGCGGACCUUGUUGAAAGCUUGCUUUUAAAAGGUUAGCGGCGGACGGGGGAGAAACACGUGGGCAACCUGCCUGUAAGACUGGGAUAACGCCGGGAAACCGGGGCUAAUACCAGAACGUUUUUUCCUCCCCAUGGAGGAAAAAGGAAAGGCGGCUUCGGCUGCCACUUACAGAUGGGCCCGCGGCGCAUUAGCUAGUUGGCGGGGUAAUGGCCCACCAAGGCCACGAUGCGUAGCCGACCUGAGAGGGUGGUCGGCCCCCUUGGGACUGAGACACGGCCCAAACUCCUACGGGAGGCAGCAGGAGGGAAUCUUCCGCAAUGGGCGGAAGUCUUACGGAGCAACGCCGCGUGGGUGAAGAAGGCCUUCGGGUCGUAAAACUCUGUUGCCGGGGAAGAACAAGUGCCGUUCGAACAGGGCGGCGCCUUGACGGUACCCGGCCAGAAAGCCACGGCUAACUACGUG